rnacentral:rRNA from 1 species
AUUGAACGCUGGCGGCAGGCCUAACACAUGCAAGUCGAACGAGUGGCGGACGGGUGAGUAAUGUCUGGGAAACUGCCUGAUGGAGGGGGAUAACUACUGGAAACGGUAGCUAAUACCGCAUACCAUCGGAUGUGCCCAGGUGGGAUUAUCUAGUAGGUGGGGUAACGGCUCACCUAGGCGACGAACCCUAGUUGGUCUGAGAGGAUGACCGGCCAAACUGGAACUGAAACACGGGCCAGACUCCUACGAUAGGCGUCAGUGGGGAAUAUUGCACCAUGGGCGCAAGCCUGAUGCAGCCAUGCCGCGUGUAUGAAGAAGGCCUGCGGGUUGUAAAGUGCUUUCAGCGGGGAGGCGUUACCCGCAGAAUAAGCACCGACUAACUCCGUGCCAGCAGCCGCGGUAAUAC